rnacentral:tRNA from 2 species
CAGAAGAUAGUUUAAUUUUAGAAUCCUGGCUUUGGGAGCCAGGGGUGGGAGUUAAAAUCUCUCUCUUUUGG